GCCCGGGUGGUGAAAUUGGUAGACACACAGGACUUAAAAUCCUGCGGAGGUUAAACUCCGUGCCGGUUCGAUUCCGGCUCCGGGCACCA
rnacentral:tRNA from 5 species